rnacentral:rRNA from 1 species
AGCGAACGCUGGCGGCAGGCCUAACACAUGCAAGUCGAACGAACUCUUCGGAGUUAGUGGCGGACGGGUGAGUAACACGUGGGAACGUGCCUUUAGGUUCGGAAUAACUCAGGGAAACUUGUGCUAAUACCGAAUGUGCCCUUCGGGGGAAAGAUUUAUCGCCUUUAGAGCGGCCCGCGUCUGAUUAGCUAGUUGGUGAGGUAAAGGCUCACCAAGGCGACGAUCAGUAGCUGGUCUGAGAGGAUGAUCAGCCACAUUGGGACUGAGACACGGCCCAAACUCCUACGGGAGGCAGCAGUGGGGAAUCUGGCGCAAUGGGCGAAAGCCUGACGCAGCCAUGCCGCGUGAAUGAUGAAGGUCUUAGGAUUGUAAAAUUCUUUCACCGGGGACGAUAAGGACGGUACCCGGAGAAGAAGCCCCGGCUAACUUCGU